rnacentral:lncRNA from 1 species
CCUUCCCUUGUCUACCGUCUCCUGUUUCACCUCUGACACUAGAACCACCGGGAAGAUACCCUAAGAAAAGGAUUCUACACACUGGAAAAAACCAUACCCUAUAAGGUACUCCACAGAAGAGCACGGAUGCCAAUUCAGGAUUUCUCUGAGUGGAAAAGCUGCUGGUCAGCCCCAAGCUGGACAGGCUCUGUUUCCCUGACAGAGUUUCUAGGAGCCAUCUUUUCUCUAGACAAGGCAGUCUCUCAAGUAGAGAAAGUACAACUAAAGACUGUCUUCCCACUAAAACUAAAACACAGCAAAAGUCCACAUUCUAGGUGAGAGCCAAGAACUGGCUUCCGAGCCCCCGUCACAUGUGAGCUGCAUGUGCCCGUGCAUUUAAACGAGACACGAGUACCUGCCACAUUUCCACUCUCCUUUUCACCUCCUCCUCCUCAACAAACUCAGUCAAGUUCGCCAGGGCUUUGGCUGCCAAUAUCCUCCUUGCUUCAGCGUUCAGUUCAGACUGCAGGCCGGCGUGUGGCGUUGCCUCCGGCAGUAUGUGCUGUCCUGGGUUUCCUGUCCACAUGAGAACUGCGCUUUAGGGCUGGUGUCACAGUGCAGGGGGCUGCAGGGGCUCCGGCCCAUCUUGGGAACAGGGCCUGGCACCCAACCCUCAGGAGCCUCACACCGGCAGUGGGCGCCUCGCUCUGAAUCCUUGUGUGUCCUUGUGAAGUUGGGUGGCGCUGGUUCUCCAGGGUUGUGUGAACAGGAGACACCCACCGAGAAGGUUCUGCUCCUCUGUACCUCCUUCGGAGAGUCCUUCCUGCACAAAAGCAGUGAGCCCUCAUCCUUGGUUCUUCUAAGCCUCCACACUUGGACUCAGUCCAGAAAGAAAACGUGUUUCGCACCAGUGUAUCCUUAUGUAAACCUAGCUCUGGAGUCGGCGGCAGGAAGCAAUGGCUUGUGGCGUCUGCUGCUGGAGACUGUGGUCGAGCAGCUCCUGGGCAGGCACUGUCCAAGGUGUCUCCCCUUGCUCCAGGAUGGCUUUGGCCCUCUUUAAGUCUGAGUCACUGUAGCUGAGCUGUCUUUUCAGAUGUGUCAGGGGCUGAAGGCCGCUCAAUAUUCCUCCUCUUCCAGAGGGGGUCAAACUCAUGCUCAUUAGAAAGGAUCACAUCCUGACUGUCGAACUCGGCCACCUCUGCAGUGGGGUUAAACGGGUCAGGCACAUCGCUGUUCUGCCUCAGUAACUCUUGAUCUAGCUGCAUUGUGACCAUUUCAGACACCGUCCUUUUCAAUUUCGGCAGAGAGCUCGGGUCCUUCUAACACGCUCUUCAUCACGACUGGCCUGUUCUCAGCCACGUCCAGCAGCAGCUGCAGACUAGGUGGACGAUCUUGGGCACAUACUUCAGAAGGCGCGCCUCGUAACCAUGAAGCAGAUGACGCUGGCGCAUCAGGUACUGUGCUAAGGUAACAGCGUGUGCUUUGGGGUCGCAGCAAGAGAAAAUAUUACGGAGUGGAGCCAGAAACUGAGUGAAUUCCCGCACACACAGCAACUGUCCUCUGGUCUGAAUGGAAUUGGGGCGUUUUGCCCGCACGAAUAUAAUUGCUUGGUCAGCAGUCAUCCUUGUUGCAAAAACUAAGUAACAUGCUAUUAGCACACCUACAGAGUAAAGAAGAUUAGGAUGAGAAAGGCCUCGUUACCCAUCAGUCC